CAGCCGCCGCGGUAAUACGAAGGGGGCUAGCGUUGUUCGGAAUUACUGGGCGUAAAGGGCGCGUAGGCGGCCAUUCAAGUUAGAUGUGAAAGCCCUGGGCUCAACCUAGGAAUUGCAUUUGUUACUGUUUGGCUUGAGUUCGGGAGAGGUGAGUGGAAUUCCCAGUGUAGAGGUGAAAUUCGUAGAUAUUGGGAAGAACACCAGUGGCGAAGGCGGCUCACUGGACCGACACUGACGCUGAGGCGCGAAAGCGUGGGGAGCAAACAGGAUUAGAUACCCCCGUAGUCCCUGUCUCUUAUAU
rnacentral:rRNA from 1 species